CACGUUGGGGCUCGACUAAUCCCGAUUCGCGUCAGAAGUCUCAUAUUGGGGGUAAAGCGCUCUCUAACAAAGGCGACUCUGUACCCAGGUACUCGAACUCGAGACCUCUGGUUAAGGAUGAAGGAGUAAUUACCACUCCACCACAACCCUUGUUGGUUAUUGUUUGUACUCCCUUACUGCCUCUCUGUGUCCUUUACCACUCUCACUCUCUUAAAAUUUCUUGUUUUCUCUAUUAAUUCAUCUCAAAAAUACAAAACCUUCAUAUUCUCAUCCUCUAUCUUGAAUCUUCACUUCUAUCCUGUUGAAAUUUCCAUAAAAAAUCUAUUUUCAAUCUUGUGUGAAACAGCAUUACUCCUUUCCAUCUUUCUUGCUUCAUUAUUCAUUAAUUGCUGCAAAAAUUUUAGCCAGAAAAAAGAAAAAAAAAGGCAUGUAAAAUGGAUAAUAUCAGUGAGGAGAAAAAUACAUGAAUACCCUGAACUUUCGUUUGAAAAGUAUAAUACUAGUAAGCUUAUUCAUAUACAGCUUGAGAAAAUGGAGAUUCAUUACCAAUUUCCAAGGGUUACCGCCGGGAUUCGAGCCAUUAUCGGCACCGGCGAGCCGCCGUCUGCCGCUCCCGGAGCUUAUUAGGAUGCCCUCCUUAUUCAGUACGUGUCUCACUUAUAUCUGACGUUGACAAUACGUGUCUCACUUAUAUCUGACAUUGACAACAGAAGAUUCAGAACAACUUUCUCUCUUAUUGAGACCUAUUUGGAUGAGGUUAGUGUUCAAGAAGUACAUGAAAUAUCCUCUUUAAUCUAAGGAAAUGUACAAGAUUUAUCUUUGAAUUUCAUCAACUUGAUAAGUUGAAAUUUUUGCAAAUCUCCUUUGAGUUUUUCAAGAAACAUAGGGAGCUUCUCAUAAAAUGACUAUUCAAUUGAAUAGUACGUUUUAGAAAAUUUAAAAAAAAUAAAAAAUUAAUAGUACAUAGUUAACUUCUUCAUUCAAUCUUUUGCUAAAAAUCCUACUCAUAAUUAAGACUUAUACUCAUCCUUUUCAGCUUUUCGAAUAAAUGCUAAGUGAUGUUAUUCAAAUGUUAUUCUUUAAAAAGUGUGUAAAUGUGUUCCUUAGAACAUGAAUCUUACUCCUGAAUGUCGGUACUAUAAACUUAGAGUUUUAUUAGCAUUUCUUUUAAGUUUAUAUGUGACAUAGUUCUAUAUGUGAUGAAUUCUCAAUAUCGAUUGUGAGAAAAGUAUCAAAUUGAUCUUUAAGGGUAUUGAUUUUGAUAAAACUGUCAAACUUAUCUCAAAAUUUAAAUUCUUAUGUGCUUUUAUAACACGUGUCUCACUUAUAUCUGACGUUGACUACAGAUUAUGAACAACUUACUCUCUCUUAUUGACACCUAUUUGGAUGAAGUUGAUGUUCAAGAAGUACAUGAAAUACCCUCUUCAAUCUAUAGAAAUAUACAAGAUUUGUCUCUGAAUUUCAUCAACUUGAUAAGUUGAAAUUGUUGAAAAUCUCCUUUGAUUUUUUCCAAGAAACAUAGGGAGCUUCUGAGCGGGAAGCGAAAUAGGUAACUUUCUACACAUUUUUUUCUUUUGUUCAGUAUGUAAUUAGCUUCUUCAUUCAAACAUUUAGUUGUUGCUAUUUGAUAAUAUCAGACUGUUUAACCAAAUUAUUCUGUUGUUUUGUGCCAAAACUGGAAUAAAGAGGAGGUCACCAUAUAUGUUCAA